GCGAGAGUGGCGGAAUUGGUAGACGCGCUGGAUUUAGGUUCCAGUACCCAAGCGGUGUGGGGGUUCGAGUCCCCCUUCUCGCA
rnacentral:tRNA from 1 species